rnacentral:rRNA from 1 species
AGGCUUAACACAUGCAAGUCGAGCGCCCCGCAAGGGGAGCGGCAGACGGGUGAGUAACGCGUGGGAAUCUACCCAUCUCUACGGAAUAACUCAGGGAAACUUGUGCUAAUACCGUAUACGCCCUUCGGGGGAAAGAUUUAUCGGAGAUGGAUGAGCCCGCGUUGGAUUAGCUAGUUGGUGGGGUAAAGGCCUACCAAGGCGACGAUCCAUAGCUGGUCUGAGAGGAUGAUCAGCCACAUUGGGACUGAGACACGGCCCAAACUCCUACGGGAGGCAGCAGUGGGGAAUAUUGGACAAUGGGCGCAAGCCUGAUCCAGCCAUGCCGCGUGAGUGAUGAAGGCCUUAGGGUUGUAAAGCUCUUUCACCGGAGAAGAUAAUGACGGAAUCCGGAGAAGAAGCCCGGUAACUUCGUCAGAGCCGCG